rnacentral:rRNA from 1 species
GACGAACGCUGGCGGCGUGCUUAACACAUGCAAGUCGAACGGAAAGGCCCUGCUUUUGUGGGGUGCUCGAGUGGCGAACGGGUGUGUAACACGUGAGUAACCUGCCCUUGACUUUGGGAUAACUUCAGGAAACUGGGGCUAAUACCGGAUAGGAGCUCCUGCUGCAUGGUGGGGGUUGGAAAGUUUCGGCGGUUGGGGAUGGACUCGCGGCUUAUCAGCUUGUUGGUGGGGUAGUGGCUUACCAAGGCUUUGACGGGUAGCCGGCCUGAGAGGGUGACCGGCAACAUUGGGACUGAGAUACGGACCAGACUGCUACGGGAGGCAGAAGUGGGGAAUAUUGCACAAUGGGCGGAAGCCUGAUGCAGCAACGCCGCGUGCGGGAUGACGGCCUUCGGGUUGUAAACCGCUUUCGCCUGUGACGAAGCGUGAGUGACGGUAAUGGGUAAAGAAGCACCGGCUAACUACGUG